AUGCUUUUUUAGUAAACUACAUCUUACAGACAUUUUUCUAUGUCAGUACAUAUUGCUGUGCUGUAUUCUACACGAUUGAGUUCCAACUGGGCUCUGCGACUACUCUGGAUCCUUGAGGAUCUGACUGACUCACUGUUGAGUCACUGCAUCCUGUGUCUAUUCUCCAUGAACUCUCAAUUUUCAAUGCAUUCUUCCUCUUGAUUUUCUCAGAAAGUAGAAUGGAAGAUCUUCUGCCAACAUGAGAACGAAACGUUCUCAUUAGUAUCUUUCAUCACCUUAUAAAUCUUUGCUUUUAUAUUCAUACAGGCAUCUUUUCCCUUACCACAGAGGUGGCUUUUUAUGUUUUGAGUUAUAUCUUCCCACUCUUCUUGGACCAUGCAUCUCACAUUUUCUCCUUAUAUAGAUCUAUAAUAUCCAGUGUAUAAGUGCUAUAGUUUAUUAGUAUGGGUUUAUUUUCUUGUUCAAGUUCAUAUUUAUAGAGUUUUCUUACAAAGCCAGUUGUG
rnacentral:lncRNA from 1 species